UAAGUUAUAAUGAAGAAUGAUUAGUUUUUACAUGAUGAUCAAUUGUAAAUAUUAAGAUUAAUGACGGUAUUUUUUAUAUUCUGAGGAACUUGCUUUUAUAAGUUGAUAGUGCACAAAUGAUCUUUCUUAUGUUUUAUAAGAAUAAUAUUAUAUUUAAUUUAAUUUUUUAUGAAGUUCUUAUGAAAUUUAUAUAUUGCUGUUUAAUUUAUUUUUUAAUAGAGAGAUAAUUAAUAGGUGAAAAAUAAAAAUAAAAAUAUUAUGUAAUUCAAGUCAAAAUGUAGUUUAUACAUAAGGAAAAAGUAGGUUACUUUUAUAUAGAAUUAAAAUAAAUUGAAAUGAAACUAAUAAGUUUUAUGAAAUAUUUAAAAUUUUGAUGUGGGAUUAGGUUGUAAAAAUUUAUUUAAUAAGAAAUUUUGAUAGAUUUAAAAAUAUG
rnacentral:rRNA from 1 species